rnacentral:rRNA from 1 species
UACAGAGGGUGCGAGCGUUAAUCGGAAUUACUGGGCGUAAAGGGCGCGUAGGCGGCGUGUCAAGUCAGGCGUGAAAGCCCCGGGCUCAACCUGGGAACCGCGCUUGAGACUGGCAUGCUCGAGUUCGGGAGAGGAUGGUGGAAUUCCCCAGUGUAGAGGUGAAAUUCGUAGAUAUUGGGAAGAACACCGAUGGCGAAGGCAGCCAUCUGGACCGACACUGACGCUGAGGCGCGAAAGCGUGGGGAGCAAACAGG